rnacentral:rRNA from 1 species
AGAUUGAACGCUGGCGGCAUGCCUUACACAUGCAAGUCGAACGGUAACAGGUCUUCGGACGCUGACGAGUGGCGAACGGGUGAGUAAUACAUCGGAACGUGCCCAGUCGUGGGGGAUAACUACUCGAAAGAGUAGCUAAUACCGCAUACGAUCUGAGGAUGAAAGCGGGGGACCUUCGGGCCUCGCGCGAUUGGAGCGGCCGAUGGCAGAUUAGGUAGUUGGUGGGAUAAAAGCUUACCAAGCCGACGAUCUGUAGCUGGUCUGAGAGGACGACCAGCCACACUGGAACUGAGAUACGGUCCAGACUCUUACGGGAGGCAGCAGUGGGGAAUAUUGCACAAUGGGCGCAAGCCUGAUGCAGCUAUGUCGCGUGUAUGAAGAAGACCUUAGGGUUGUAAAGUACUUUCGAUAGCAUAAGAAGAUAAUGAGACUAAUAAUUUUAUUGUCUGACGUUAGCUAUAGAAGAAGCACCGGCUAACUCCGUGCCAGCAGCCGCGGUAAUACGGGGGGUGCUAGCGUUAAUCGGAAUUACUGGGCGUAAAGAGCAUGUAGGUGGUUUAUUAAGUCAGAUGUGAAAUCCCUGGACUUAAUCUAGGAACUGCAUUUGAAACUAAUAGGCUAGAGUUUCGUAGAGGGAGGUAGAAUUCUAGGUGUAGCGGUGAAAUGCAUAGAUAUCUAGAGGAAUAUCAGUGGCGAAGGCGACCUUCUGGACGAUAACUGACGCUAAAAUGCGAAAGCAUGGGUAGCAAACAGGAUUAGAUACCCUGGUAGUCCAUGCUGUAAACGAUGUCGACUAAGAGGUUGGAGGUAUAACUUUUAAUCUCUGUAGCUAACGCGUUAAGUCGACCGCCUGGGGAGUACGGUCGCAAGGCUAAAACUCAAAUGAAUUGACGGGGGCCUGCACAAGCGGUGGAGCAUGUGGUUUAAUUCGAUGCAACGCGUAAAACCUUACCUGGUCUUGACAUCCACAGAAUUUUACAGAAAUGUAGAAGUGCAAUUUGAACUGUGAGACAGGUGCUGCAUGGCUGUCGUCAGCUCGUGUUGUGAAAUGUUGGGUUAAGUCCCGCAACGAGCGCAACCCUUGUCCUUUGUUACCAUAAGAUUUAAGGAACUCAAAGGAGACUGCCGGUGAUAAACUGGAGGAAGGCGGGGACGACGUCAAGUCAUCAUGGCCCUUAUGACCAGGGCUACACACGUGCUACAAUGGCAUAUACAAAGAGAUGCAAUAUUGCGAAAUAAAGCCAAUCUUAUAAAAUAUGUCCUAGUUCGGACUGGAGUCUGCAACUCGACUCCACGAAGUCGGAAUCGCUAGUAAUCGUGGAUCAGCAUGCCACGGUGAAUAUGUUUCCAGGCCUUGUACACACCGCCCGUCACACCAUGGAAGUGGAUUGCAAAAGAAGUAAGAAAAUUAACCUUCUUAACAAGGAAAUAACUUACCACUUUGUGACUCAUAACUGGGGUGA